GGAGGAGAGGGAUAGGGGCCAGGGGCUCGGCAGUUGAAUGAGAUGGCACGACGCCCGCGCACCGAGCACGCCACAGACUUAUUCCACGUCGCAUACGGGACGACGCGCCGCGUCUCUACCCACUCGUAUAACAAACUGUACGCCAAAAAACGCUCUACUCCGCUAUAGUGACUACCAGUUUUUUCACCAAUAUAUGGAUUUAAUAAGGAUAUUCAAUAAGUGAAUAAUGAGUAAAAAUAUUAUGAAGGAUGUGAUUGGUGAAAGUGCACUUUCUAAUCAAUAAUUUAUUGAGAUGUGGUCCUUAGUAAAUACUUAACGAUAUACAUGAUUUUAAGCAGUAAGGUAAUGCGAGGAGAUAAACCCAAGUUGUGUUUGCUGGUUGCAACACUAGCUCUCGGGUAUUCGUGGGCAGGAAGCACGUGCGAACGAAGGGUGACCUGGUGGGACCGUGAGCGCGGCGCAUGCGUGCCCUGCACGCGCUGUGACCGCGAUAAACACCUCGUAGUGCAGCUCCCCUGCGAACUGCACAGGGACACCAUCUGCCAGUCACUAUACCAAAUACAUAUAUGGCCAUUCUUCGCACCUGCUCGUAAUGACACUACAGACAAUAGUGAACCUAGUGAUUAUGAAUACGAGUACUCGGACUACGAUAGUGAAGUGAGAGAAGAUGGUGUAACCCAAUGGGACUUGCAAACGUUAAGUGUUAUAUUAGCAGCGUCCGGCUGUGUCGUUUUCUUUAUAGUUGUAUUAUAUUUAUCGCUUUCUCAUGCCAGACAAUGGAAGAUCCUCAAGCAAACCCUUCAAUCAGACAUGAAGGACCUAACAGCGAAGAUAAAAUUAAUGGAAGCUGGCGGCGAUCCUCCGUGCGAGCCACCCUCACCCACCGAUCAUCACAUCUAUUGCAAUAUACACGUCGGCAAAGAUGCACUACUUGGAAAUCAGCACUGAAGUAGACUGUUCUCGCGGUUUCCAGGGAAGCUGCCAACUGUUUAUAAACAGAGCUGUUUAUAACUUUUGCUUAGAGAAUAUCUAAACUUGAGUCCGGCUUCUUCUAAAAAAGGACUAGGCAACGUGUAUACACAAGAUAAGCAUCCUUCAUGAUCAUCUUGACCACCGAUUUUAUACAUAAGCAUAAAAUAGUACCUACAAUAAAAAUAUUAAUUUGAUGGAACCUCGCGCUUCAAGAGUUAGGAAAAUGUACAUGAGAUAAAUAUUUUCAAAAUAAACGAUUCAAAACUA
rnacentral:misc_RNA from 1 species